AGUAGGAGAAAGGCAAACGCGAAGCGUUUCUCCCAUGCCUUUCGACGACCUGCCGCCGAAGGGAAGCGAGGGGGCGUUACCGCAG
rnacentral:sRNA from 1 species